rnacentral:rRNA from 1 species
AAGAUGACGAGCGGCGGACGGGUGAGUAAUGCUUGGGAACAUGCCUUUAGGUGGGGGACAACCAUUGGAAACGAUGGCUAAUACCGCAUAAUGUCUACGGACCAAAGGGGGCUUCGGCUCUCGCCUUUAGAUUGGCCCAAGUGGGAUUAGCUAGUUGGUGAGGUAAUGGCUCACCAAGGCGACGAUCCCUAGCUGGUUUGAGAGGAUGAUCAGCCACACUGGAACUGAGACACGGUCCAGACUCCUACGGGAGGCAGCAGUGGGGAAUAUUGCACAAUGGGCGCAAGCCUGAUGCAGCCAUGCCGCGUGUGUGAAGAAGGCCUUCGGGUUGUAAAGCACUUUCAGUAAGGAGGAAAGGUUAGUAGUUAAUACCUGCUAGCUGUGACGUUACUUACAGAAGAAGCACCGGCUAACUCCGUGCCAGCAGCCGCGGUAAUACGGAGGGUGCGAGCGUUAAUCGGAAUUACUGGGCGUAAAGCGUACGCAGGCGGUUUGUUAAGCGAGAUGUGAAAGCCCCGGGCUCAACCUGGGAACUGCAUUUCGAACUGGCAAACUAGAGUGUGAUAGAGGGUGGUAGAAUUUCAGGUGUAGCGGUGAAAUGCGUAGAGAUCUG